rnacentral:rRNA from 1 species
UCGAGAAUAAUUCACAAUGGGGGCAACCCUGAUGGUGCAACGCCGCGUGGAGGAUGACGGUCUUCGGAUUGUAAACUCCUGUCAUCUGGGAGUAAGGCAUGGUUGUUAAUAGCAAACAUGAUUGAUAGUACCAGAAGAGGAAGAGACGGCUAACUCUGUGCCAGCAGCCGCGGUAAUACAGAGGUCUCAAGCGUUGUUCGGAAUCACUGGGCGUAAAGGGUGCGUAGGCGGCUUGGUAAGCCAGAUGUG